rnacentral:rRNA from 1 species
AACGAACGCUGGCGGCGUGUUUUAAGCAUGCAAGUCGAACGGGAACCUGAAGCUUGCUUCAGGGGGAAGUGGCGAACGGGUGAGUAACACGUGGGUAAUCUACCCUCGGAUGGGGGAUAGCACUAGGAAACUAGUGGUAAUACCGCAAUUAUCGCUCUAUCAUAAGAAAGAGUGAUUAAAGGCGCCCUCUGCAUAUGGUGCCGUCUGAGGAUGAGCCCGCGGGCUAUUAGCUAGUUGGCAGGGUAACGGCCUACCAAGGCUACGAUGGCUAGCCGACCUGAGAGGGUGUACGGCCACAUUGGGACUGAGAUACGGCCCAGACUCCUACGGGAGGCAGCAGCUAAGAAUAUUCCGCAAUGGGCGAAAGCCUGACGGAGCGACGCCGCGUGGACGAUGAAGGCCUUCGGGUUGUAAAGUCCUUUUCCUGGAGAAGAAUAAAGCCGGUAGUAACUGACCGGACGAUGACGGUAUCCAGGGAAUAAGCCCCGGCUAAUUACGUGCCAGCAGCCGCGGUAAUACGUAUGGGGCAAGCGUUGUUCGGAUUUACUGGGCGUAAAGGGCUUGUAGGUGGUGUUCCAAGUCGGAUGUGAAAUCUCCGGGCUUAACCCGGAAAUUGCAUUCGAAACUGGAUCGCUAGAGUACUGGAGAGGGAAACGGAAUUCCUGGUGUAGGGGUGAAAUCUGUAGAUAUCAGGAAGAACACCGGUGGCGAAGGCGGUUUCCUGGCCGGAUACUGACACUGAGGAGCGAAAGCUAGGGGAGCAAACAGGAUUAGAUACCCUGGUAGUCCUAGCCGUAAACGUUGUGCACUAGGUGUAAGUGGUUUUUUCCACUUGUGCCGAAGCUAACGCAUUAAGUGCACCGCCUGGGGAGAUGCUCGCAAGGGU